rnacentral:ncRNA from 2 species
GCGUUCUCAUUGGGGAGCGCUUGCCUGGUAAAUGCCAUGAGCAAGCUGCUGAGAUUGCUGCGGCAAGACCCACAGAACCUGAUCCAGUUAGUACUGGCGUAGGAAUUGAGUUCGAUACGGUA